rnacentral:lncRNA from 1 species
UAUCUGCUGAUAGAGGAAGCAACCACAGUGCAGAGGAUGGGAAGGAAUGCCGGCCCCAUUGCCAUGGCUGAUUCAUCACGGCACUCCUCGCAGGCAUGCGGAACCGCGAAAACAGCUCGCCCUGCCAGGGCAAUGGAGAGCAGGCCGGCCGAGGCAGGAAUGUGGGCUCCGUGUGGCCGGGGGAGGAGGAGCCCUGCAACGAUGCCACCACCCCUUCCUACAAGAAGCCUCUCUAUGGCAUUUCGCACAAGAUCAUGGA